UACGUAGGGUGCAAGCGUUGUCCGGAAUUAUUGGGCGUAAAGAGCUCGUAGGCGGCUUGUUGCGUCGGCUGUGAAAUCCCGGGGCUUAACUCCGGGCGUGCAGCCGAUACGGGCAGGCUAGAGUCCGGUAGGGGAGACUGGAAUUCCUGGUGUAGCGGUGAAAUGCGCAGAUAUCAGGAGGAACACCGGUGGCGGAGGCGGGUCUCUGGGCCGGUACUGACGCUAAGGAGCGAAAGCGUGGGGAGCGAACAGG
rnacentral:rRNA from 1 species